UACGGAGGGUGCAAGCGUUAUCCGGAUUCACUGGGUUUAAAGGGUGCGUAGGUGGGUCUGUAAGUCAGUGGUGAAAUCUCCGAGCUUAACUCGGAAACUGCCAUUGAUACUAUAGGUCUUGAAUCAUCUGGAGGUAAGCGGAAUAUGUCAUGUAGCGGUGAAAUGCUUAGAUAUGACAUAGAACACCCAUUGCGAAGGCAGCUUACUACACAAUGAUUGACGCUGAGGCACGAAAGCGUGGGGAUCAAACAGG
rnacentral:rRNA from 1 species